AGGAUGAACGCUGGCGGUCUGCUUAACACAUGCAAGUCGAACGGAGUAGCAAUACUUAGUGGCGGACGGGUGAGUAACGCGUGAGAAUCUACCUUCAGGACGGAGACAACAGUUGGAAACGACUGCUAACCCCCGAUGUACCGAAAGGGCAAAUAUUUAUAGCCUGAAGAAGAGCUCGCGUCCGAUUAGCUAGUUGGAGAGGUAAAAGCUCACCAAGGCGACGAUCGGUAGCUGGUCUGAGAGGACGAUCAGCCACACUGGGACUGAGACACGGCCCAGACUCCUACGGGAGGCAGCAGUGGGAAUUUUCCGCAAUGGGCGAAAGCCUGACGGAGCAAGACCGCGUGGGGGAAGAAGGCUCUUGGGUUGUAAACCCCUUUUCUCUGGGAAGUAACGCAAUGACGGUACCAGAGGAAUCAGCAUCGGCUAACUCCGUGCCAGCAGCCGC
rnacentral:rRNA from 1 species